rnacentral:lncRNA from 1 species
CUCAUUUGCAUGCGAAAUUUUGAAAGAUGGAAACUAAAGUGUCUGUGGCAUUUUCUGCCAAUAAAUUACCUGCCUGACAGGAAGGCGUCACUGCUCAUCAACGCUGGUAGUGUGUAAGCUGGUACUUGUUCAGUUAAGGAGAAGAGAAAUAGUGCCUCAGAGAGUUAUCUUCCUGGGAAUAAUUACUAUAGGUGUCAACAGGCUGGAAAAAGAAGGGAGCCCUUUGCUAGUCUGUGAGUUAAGUUUGUGAAUGAUGAAAGGUCUGAUUGUAAUGAUCAUCAAAAUCUCUAUCCCACAUCUAGGUUUGCUCAUUUGUCACUGAUUAUAAGAGCAUGAGAAAGAGCUCAGGAAAUAGACAGUAAUUAGGUGGUUAAGAACAAAAUCUCUUUACUUACUCCAUGGAUUCCUGAGACACUUCUAAGAUGAGGUUACUGCUCUGAAAGCCAUCAAAUAGCAGUUUGGAGCCCCCUCUUGGAGACGGAACAUAUUUGAAUAUUUGCUAGGAGACAACUGAAGCCUAGGGAUGAAUGUGGCUGAAGUGUCAAUAUGACAGAUCUAUUCCUACGCCUCAAGAAGACUUGAGUACUAGCACGGUUCCCUGGAAUUCUGCCUCAUAAUGACAACAAGCCCAGGAUAGCCAACUGGAGGAUGGGAGACCAAUGGAGCAGAGCUGGGUUGCCCAGCGGAGGAGGCUAUCUGGACCAGCUAGUUGAAUACAGACAGAUUAGUGAUCCCAGAGAAGUUAUCUGAGUCUGGGCCUAGAUUAGCAGAACUACCCAUACACUCAUGAAAAAUAAUAAAUGUUUGUUAUUUUAAGCCAUUAAGUUUUUGGCAUGUUUUAUUGUUCACCUAGAUAACUAACUCAUUGAUUACCUUUUAUGAAAAAGGAAACAAUGAUUCAUAUGGACAUUUGUUGACACAUCUUCCACUCAAAUGAUUAUUC